UACGUAGGGGGCAAGCGUUGUCCGGAUUUAUUGGGCGUAAAGAGCGUGUAGGCGGUUUGGUAGGUCCGCUGUGAAAACUCGAGGCUCAACCUCGAGACGCCGAUGGAAACCCCCUGGCUAGAGUCCGGAAGAGGAGAGUGGAAUUCCUGGUGUAGCGGUGAAAUGCGCAGAUAUCAGGAAGAACACCCGUGGCGAAGGCGGCUCUCUGGGACGGUACUGACGCUGAGACGCGAAAGCGUGGGGAGCGAACAGG
rnacentral:rRNA from 1 species